rnacentral:rRNA from 1 species
GACGAGCGCUGGCGGCGUGCCUAAUACAUGCAAGUUGAGCGAUGAAGAUUGGUGCUUGCACCAAUUUGAAGAGCAGCGAACGGGUGAGUAACGCGUGGGGAAUCUGCCUUUGAGCGGGGGACAACAUUUGGAAACGAAUGCUAAUACCGCAUAAUAACUUUAAACAUAAGUUUUAAGUUUGAAAGAUGCAAUUGCAUCACUCAAAGAUGAUCCCGCGUUGUAUUAGCUAGUUGGUGAGGUAAAGGCUCACCAAGGCGAUGAUACAUAGCCGACCUGAGAGGGUGAUCGGCCACAUUGGGACUGAGACACGGCCCAAACUCCUACGGGAGGCAGCAGUAGGGAAUCUUCGGCAAUGGACGAAAGUCUGACCGAGCAACGCCGCGUGAGUGAAGAAGGUUUUCGGAUCGUAAAACUCUGUUGGUAGAGAAGAACGUUGGUGAGAGUGGAAAGCUCAUCAAGUGACGGUAACUACCCAGAAAGGGACGGCUAACUACGUG